rfam:Yarrowia lipolytica strain CLIB122 chromosome B complete sequence.
UCCGAUAUAGUGUAGGGGCUAUCACAUCACGCUCUCAAGUUGAGACCCGUGGAGACCGGGGUUCGAUUCCCCGUAUUGGAG